rnacentral:rRNA from 1 species
AUGAAAGCAAACCAAAAGGAAACAAAGGCCGAAAUAAGCGCAAGUGUAAGAGAUCAAAAAUCACCUUUGCUGAACUAUUGGAUAAAUAUGAAAAGAAGAGUGAAGAGAAGAAUGCUUAUCAGCCCAAUCAUGCCAAUAAACCAAGAUCACCCCCAAGGCGCAAAUAUGAGGAUCGGUAUUGGCAAAGUGAGAAUUUUAAUGCAACAUAUUCAUAUCCUUAUUUUGGGCCGCCAAAUGCCAAUGCCGUGGAUGCCUCCCUAUGCUCAUAUAGAUCCAUAUCCAUCAUGGGACAGGUAUGAUACAAGGGCACAUUCUCCAUCUUAUUUUAGACGAUCUCACCAAUAUUAUGCAGCUCCGAGAAGAUCAAUAUCUGAACAAUCACAUGUUAAAGACCGUUUCAAUCAUAAGGAAUCGGUCCAGAGCUCAAGGAUGAAGAAAGAGGUGGUCAAGAAAGUUUACCGUGUUAAAAGAGAUGGUCGUAAGAGUGCAACUUCAGAUUUGAUCUCAAAUAAAAAAGAGCCAAUUGAAGUGUUAACAUUUGCUACUAAAGGCAAUGAGACAAAGCAACCAAUUAUUGAGAGUCAAAGUGCCAAAUCUGAAGAAAAGAAGUUGAGAGUGCAUAAGGCCAAAAAGGAACUACCAUUGGUCAAAAUAGAACUACAGCCGAGAUGCCCACUCGGCUUAACGUAUUGGCAAAAGAAGGAAUUACAAAAUCUUAAUGCACAAGAGCUGAGACAGAAGAACAUGGCAUGGGUUCCCAAGAGGAUCAUUCAUAACAAAAAUGAUGUGCAUGCUUCUAUUGCAACAAGUACAAUAAAAGUGAAGAAAGAGAAGAAUGGAAGCAACAAACAAUUAAGCCAAAGGUGUGGAUCACAACAUCAAAAUCUUCGAUUAGCACAUCAUCCAUUUUCUUCAACAAUGCCAUUGAUGCCUUUGCCAUGGAAUUCAUCCAUAGGCAAAAUAAGGAUCGGAGGAGUUCAUUCUUGA